UGUGGCAGGCAGAGAAUGGACCGAACGUCCUUCUUGGUGACCAUAUUUAAAGUGAGAUUUUAAAUUUGGCACCACUUUCUACAUUGCAACCUUUCCUCUCCCUCAAACUCAACUUUUAGAAACUCCAUUUUUCUCCUCCUUCUCUCUACACCCUUCCAACUUCUCUCUAGAUUUCUGACUACCAUUUCUCCUCCGGUCAUAUACUUCCUUUCAGAUUAAUUACUCCCAGUGUCAAGAGCUUCAAUUUGCACCGAUCAGAUUUCUGUUUUGGACUGGUAAGUGAUUCUGACUUUUGAAACUUCUUUGUAUUCUUGCAUGCACGCACACUUUCAGCUUGCAUGUGUUAGCUAAACCAUUUCUCU
rnacentral:lncRNA from 1 species